GUUGCAGGUUCCGAGCAAAGAAGAAGCCGCGCGGAGGGCGCCGCGCGCACGCGCGCGCAGAGCCGGAGCCGGCCGGGCAGAGGGAGCUCCGGAUCUCGCUGCAGGCGCAGACACAGUCACUUAUUGGACUUGAACUUGUAAAGUAAACUAGACAUGCAAGACUGAAAGCCUCACCGAGCCACCUGGCUCCACUCCCCAGCACCAAGACUACCAAGGUGCCACCAUACCCAGCAUUUUCUACAUGGGUUCUGAGGAUGUAACAGGUUCUCACGCUUGUAAGAAUGCAGAGGCGUCACAGCAGGGAAGAAAAGGCAAAGCAGCUUCCGGGUGACUCCAUCAACUGGGCUGUGAGGAGCAGAACAGGGAGGCUAUGGACAAGGCCUGGUUCUGCCCACCGGAAGUCCCGGCUAACAGCCACUAACAACUUCCAGCAACAUGAGAGACUACAAAGAUUUGAACCCACGACAUCUGCCUGAAUCCUGGCCUGACUGGAGACAGCUUGUCCCCGACCACCUCUGUCUAUAUUGUAGAUCCAUGAGCAAACGCAUAUUUCAGCUGGAAGGUUUGGGGUGGCUUACUACAAAGCAAUUGAUGCUUGAAAUACUACCAAUAGUUUUGAAGCCCCUUCUAGAUCCUUCCCUGUUUGCACUUUCUUCCUACCUCCCCAACUAUAAUAAUUAUUAUUAUUAUAUACCUACACUUAUUAUUCCUAAUGCUCUUGCUUUUUGACCAUUAGUUUUUAUAUGUAUAUGAAUAUAGAAAAGUAUUGUUAUGCAUGUAUAAUAAUAUUCUGCUUGAUUUAUGUA